GACGAACGCUGGCGGCGUGCCUAAUACAUGCAAGUAGAACGCAGUUGCGAACGGGUGAGUAACGCGUAGGUAACUGCCUCAUAGCGGGGGAUAACUAUUGGAAACGAUAGCUAAUACCGCAUACUGUGAGAUGGACCUGCGUUGUAUUAGCUAGUGGGUGAGGUAAAGGCUCACCAAGGCGACGAUACAUAGCCGACCUGAGAGGGUGAUCGGACAAGCUGGGACUGAGACACGGCCCAGACUCCUACGGGAGGCAGCAGUGGGGAAUCGUCGGCAAUGGACGGAAGUCUGACCGAGAGACGCCGCGUGGGUGAAGAAGGUUUUCGGGUCGUAAAGUUCUGUUGUUAGAGAAGCGGUAACUAACGAGAAAGGGACGGCUAACUACGUGCCAGCCGCCGCGGUAAUAC
rnacentral:rRNA from 1 species